GACGAACGCUGGCGGCGUGCUUAACACAUGCAAGUCGAACGAAGUGGCGAACGGGUGAGUAACGCGUGAUCAACCUGCCCUUCAGAGGGGGACAACAGUUGGAAACGACUGCUAAUACCGCAUACUGAAGGGGGGGAUUGCGUCUGAUUUGCUAGUUGGAGGGGUAACGGCCCACCAAGGCGAUGAUCACGAGCCGGUCUGGAAGGGUGGACGGCCACCUUGGGACUGAGACACGGCCCAGACUCCUACGGGGGGCAGCAGUGGGGAAUCUUCCGACAUGGACGAAAGUCUGACGGAGCAACUCCGCGGGAGAUAUGACGGCCUUCGGGUUGUAAAGCUCUGUUAAGCGGGACGCGGUACCGGAAUAGAAAGCAACGGCUAACUACGUGCCAGCAGCCGCGGUAAUAC
rnacentral:rRNA from 1 species